rnacentral:rRNA from 1 species
GGGGGGGGCAAGCGUUGUUCGGAAUUACUGGGCGUAAAGGGCUCGUAGGUUGCCAACUAAGUCAGACGUGAAAUCCCUCGGCUUAACCGGGGAACUGCGUCUGAUACUGGAUGGCUUGAGUUUGGGAGAGGGACGCGGAAUUCCAGGUGUAGCGGUGAAAUGCGUAGAUAUCUGGAGGAACACCGGUGGCGAAGGCGGCGUCCUGGACCAACACUGACACUGAGGAGCGAAAGCCAGGGGAGCAAACGGGAUUAGAUACCCCGGUAGUCCUGGCCCUAAACGAUGAAUGCUUGGUGUGGCGGGUAUCGAUCCCUGCCGUGCCGAAGCUAACGCAUUAAGCAUUCCGCCUGGGGAGUACGGUCGCAAGGCUG